rnacentral:tRNA from 1 species
GGGCUCGACAGGGAUUUGAACCCGGGACCUCUCACACCCGAAUCCAGAAUCAUACCACUAGACCAUCGAGCC